GCCGGGCCGCGGCGUGCCGGGAGUCGACGCCGUGGACGUCAGAGCCGCAGCCACGUUCCGGCCUCACGAAAGUCCCUCCGGCCUCUCCCUGUCUGGGUGGAAAGGGCUUCCGGACGGGGAGAAUCGGCUUUUCUUGGUAAAUUCGGACACUGGUCAGUCAGUGGCGAAUCAGCCGGGGCCUUGCUCACAGGGAUUUCGGAGCAGCCGGUCUUAAGGAAGUCCUCAGCUCCUUGAGGAAGCAUGACUGACAUAUGUUACGGUCCACACCAUGAUGGUAGCGCUCGUGUGUACAUAGAGAAAGGUCGCUGGAUGGAGGACCUUUCCUUUCUGCCAGAAGCCAUUUGGAUUAUUGAAAGGCAUCCCUGGAAGGUCUGGGUGGAUUGGAUUUCCUCGUUUUUAAGUUUAAUUUUAUUGUGAAGAUGCUGAACAGAGGGGAUACAGUUACAUGAGUAAGGAUGAUCUCCUAUCCUGGCUCCUGUGGCUUCACUUCAGUGAACAUGGGAAUGCAUUUAUCUCUUUGACAUGCUAAUCUCAUUUUAUGUGCACGAGCAAACCAUUGUAAUCGCAUUUUUAAUUUUUUGAGGAUACUAUUUCCCAUUUGGGCUGUACUACAUUGACUCAAGGCUAGAACAGAAUAAAAGGUUUUCAACACUUCUUGAAA